CAUAUCAUCUUAUGUUCUUAUAGUUUUCUUAAAAGUAUUUUGUUCUAACUCUUUUAUUUUCUUGGUUAUAGAAAUUGGGAUUAUUCAAAUCUUGGAAAGGAUAUAACUCAACCGGGACAAGAUUUCAACUAAGAAAAAACUUCAAGAUAUUGCCAAAGGGUUCAUCUUCAUCAUACAAAGUUGUAAUGGGAUCGCGUAUAGUUGAUGGUGAUCAUCAAUCUUGUUAUAAGAUUGUAAAACGCAAAUCGGUUUUCACAAUCGAGGAUGGAUCAGGAAGAUUAUUGGCAGAAGUUAAAAAGAAACAAUCAAAUAUCAAAAGUUUAGAUCUUGGGAAAGAUGUAUUAACAAUGAUGGUGGAGCCACAAGUAGAUCACUCUUUAAUAAUGGGUAUUGUUAUAGCAUAUAGUCUUCUCAAAUGUAA
rnacentral:sRNA from 1 species